rnacentral:rRNA from 1 species
CCUACGGGAGGCAGCAGUCGAGAAUCAUUCACAAUGGGGGAAACCCUGAUGGUGCGACGCCGCGUGGGGGAAUGAAGGUCUUCGGAUUGUAAACCCCUGUCAUGUGGGAGCAAAUUAAAAAGAUAGUAUCACAAGAGGAAGAGACGGCUAACUCUGUGCCAGCAGCCGCGGUAAUACAGAGGUCUCAAGCGUUGUUCGGAAUCACUGGGCGUAAAGCGUGCGUAGGCUGUUUCGUAAGUCGUGUGUGAAAGGCGCGGGCUCAACCCGCGGACGGCACAUGAUACUGCGAGACUAGAGUAAUGGAGGGGGAACCGGAAUGCUCGGUGUAGCAGUGAAAUGCGUAGAUAUCGAGAGGAACACUCGUGGCGAAGGCGGGCUCCUGGACAUUAACUGACGCUGAGGCACGAAGGCCAGGGGGGCGAAAGGGAUUAGAUACCCUUGUAGUC